GUGCAACGAUCGUAGUUUUGCUGGAAAAACAGUUUUAUUUGAUUCGAUUUGUUAAGUAUUUGAUAGAUUCAUAUCUCUUUUGUAGAUGUCGUAUGACGUUUUAUCAAUGAAUUAAUUUUAGUUUCAAAAAAUAAAAAUAGUAUUUUCAAGAUUUAUUAAUUAUGCAAAAACUUUAGAAACAAAAUUAUAUCACUCAAAUAUAUUGAAGUAUAAUUUUUUUAAAAUAUAAUUUUAGAAUAUUCGUAAAUGUACGAACCCUAAUCUUAUUUUUAAAUUACAAUUUGAUGGAGUAUAUAUUUUGUCAAACAUAUUUUCCAAUAACAAAAAGAAUAAAAAAGUAUGGAGAUUUCUGAUGUUGUAUUGCUGCCUGCUCGAAUCAACAUCCCCAGAGGGACUUUUUAAAAUCGUAAUCAAUUAUUCCCUCCAGAAAGUCCCGCAGUACUUGAAUAUGGAAAGUACAAUUAGGUUUUAUUUUUUCCCUAAAGACCUAAUUGUAGUUUUCAUAUUCAGAAGCAGCGAUUUCAUUGCGGACUUCAAAACCGAUGGAGAUUUUCUCUUCACAUUGUGCGACGCCUUGAACAUCUCAUACACAAAUUGAAUCUCGCCUGCGCAAAUUGAACUCCGCCUGCCGGAAUUGAACGUCAUCACCUGCGUAAAUUGAACAUCGCCUGCCGGAAUUGAACCUCAUCUUUACGAAGCUGCCAUAUCAUAAAUUAGGGCCAGGGCCUCCCAGCCAUGGUGUUCUUCGCUGUCCUGACCCCUCACGAGUUCAAAUUUGGGUCUGCUGACUACCAGUGAUUGUACAGGGUAGAAGGGAAGAAAGGUGAACAGAACAAACCCAUAGUAGGUUAGCUGCCUUGUAUUUUCUGCUGGAAUAAUUUUUCAGCCAAGCGAAAUCGGCCAUUCUUGCAUUUGAAAGUUUAUAUUUAUAGUUUUUAUGGUCUUUGUGGGUCAAUGAUGGAACAUUUCCACCAGCAAUGAGGCAACAUCUCUUGGUACUAGACUUCAUCCUAGACACUUGAAUAACCUUUAUCGUAGAAGGAUCUCCUAGUGUAAAAGGUUUCUUUCUUGAUUUUCACUUGUGUUGGGGUCUAUCAAAAACGUUUAUUUGCAGCAUUCCUUGUUUAACCAUCUGGUGAAGAGUUGGGUAGGGGGGGGGGGGGGGGGCGUGUCUUUUAGAGUUAAGUUUAUGAGAUUUUGUCUCAAGUUAUUGAAGCAGAAACGAUGAUUAAUUACCUAGGGAAUAACAUGAUAGAACAUGGGUUUUGAUUCCAGUAACUUAAAAACGUUUACAGUGCAGCACGAUUGAACUUCUGUUUAAGUUUUCAUUUUAUUUUCUCCAAGCUACUCUUGUUUAUUUGUCUAAUUGUUUUGUUUUCCUGGAUGAUCGGGUCUGUCUACUUUCCUGCAUCACAUUUUGUGCACAGUUGGAGAUGCAUGUCUGCACUAUUUUUUUAUUGUGGUUGACGAUGAUUUCCUGAUCAUCUAAUACAUUUUCAUCAUUUUUUGUAUACAAUUAUGUUUUACGACCAUCAUGUAAAGCUAAGCUUCUCACUUGAGUUGUGACUGGAGCUUGAAAUAAUUUUCCCCUCCUCAACCCCUUAAUUGAUCGAAAAGUUGCAUUUGUGCCUCCUCGCUUCUUACUACAGAUUACCGACAGCUGCUAACCACUGCAAUCUUUUCCUAAGUUAUUAAAACCAAGAUCGAACAAGGAAAAAUAAGCAAAACAUGGAACGAAAGAAGUCGGAACUAUUGAAGCAACCCUAGCUUACAGCUUUACGAGAAGAACGUCAACGAAAAAAGGCGUUAAAGGAUGAUAAAAACAACAGUCAUUUCCAUGGAGGACGAGGACGAGGACGAGGACGAGGACGAGGACGAGGACGAGGAGUGAUGAAGUGCAAACUAAUGAAGAGUAGUAUGACUUUGGUCGACUUUAUUGAGGUGAUGCUGCCUUGGUUGUUGAUUGGUGUUUCCAUGUCUCCACAAUCACAUAUCCGCUUCUUAUUCUCCUCCUUGUCGGAGCAAUCACUGUUGCUGUUGCAGUUGUUGUUGCCGUGCAUUGUUAUUGUUGGUUUUAGUUGCCGGACUCCUGUGUUGUUGUUUCUCUGCCUCUCGGUUUUCUCUUAAGGGUAUAACUCUUGCCCAACUCUUCUUUAUCAAUUAGUUUAUCCUAAGCAUAUUAUAAUAGUUUAUGGAAGUAAAUCGUCAUUGAUUUAUUAUUUUGAUUUUAUAGAAAUGUUUUUUAUUAUUGAA